rnacentral:tRNA from 1 species
GCGGAUGUGGUGAAAUUGGUAUACACGCAGGCUUCAGGUGCCUGUGGGGGCAACCCCGUGGAGGUUCGAGUCCUCUCAUCCGCA